GAUGAACGCUAGCGGCAGGCUUAAUACAUGCAAGACGAACGGCAAGAUUUUUAGCAAUAAGAAUCCCAGAGUGUCGUAAGGGUGCGUAACACGUAUGCAAUCUGCCCUCAACAGGAGGAUAGCUCCCGAAAGGGGAAUUAACACUCCAUAAGAUCAUGGAAUGGCAUCAUUCAGUGAUUAAAACUACGGUGGUUGAGGAUGAGCAUGCGCAUGAUUAGUUAGUUGGCGGGUAACGCCACCAAGACGAUGAUCAUUAGGGGAACUGAGAGGUUGACUCCCCCACACUGGCACUGAGAUACGGGCCAGACUCC
rnacentral:rRNA from 1 species